AGUUUGAUCAUGGCUCAGGACGAACGCUGGCGGCAUGCCUAACACAUGCAAGUCGAACGGAGUUAUUAUUCAGAAGUUCUACGGGAUGGAAGGAUAAGAACUUAGUGGCGGACGGGUGAGUAACGCGUGGGUAACCUGCCCUUUUGUGGGGAACAACUUCGAGAAAUCGGAGCUAAUACCGCAUAAUAAUAGAGGAUCGCAUGAUUCUUUAAGGAAAGAUGGCCUCUGAAGAUGCUAUCGCAAAAGGAUGGACCCGCGUCUGAUUAGCUAGUUGGAAGGGUAACGGCCUACCAAGGCAACGAUCAGUAGCCGGCCUGAGAGGGUGAACGGCCACAUUGGGACUGAGACACGGCCCAAACCCCUACGGGAGGCAGCAGUGGGGAAUCUUCCGCAAUGGGCGAAAGCCUGACGGAGCAAUGCCGCGUGAGUGAAGAAGGCCUUCGGGUUGUAAAACUCUGUCCUUAUCGAAGAGAGGUAGGUAUGUGAAUAAUGUACCUAUAGGACGGUAGAUAAGGAGGAAGCCCCGGCUAACUACGUGCCAGCAGCCGCGGUAAUACGUAGGGGGCGAGCGUUGUCCGGAAUCACUGGGCGUAAAGGGCGCGUAGGCGGUUUAAUAAGUCAGUGGUGAAAACUGAGGGCUCAACCCUCAGCCUGCCACUGAUACUGUUAGACUUGAGUAUGGAAGAGGAGAAUGGAAUUCCUAGUGUAGCGGUGAAAUGCGUAGAUAUUAGGAGGAACACCAGUGGCGAAGGCGAUUCUCUGGGCCAAGACUGACGCUGAGGCGCGAAAGCGUGGGGAGCAAACAGGAUUAGAUACCCUGGUAGUCCACGCCGUAAACGAUGGAUACUAGGUGUUAGUAGUUUCGAUGCUACUAGUGCCGGAGUAAACACAAUAAGUAUCCCGCCUGGGGAGUACGGUCGCAAGACUGAAACUCAAAGGAAUUGACGGGGGCCCGCACAAGCGGUGGAGCAUGUGGUUUAAUUCGACGCAACGCGAAGAACCUUACCAAGACUUGACAUCCUCCUGACAGGAUAUGUAAUGUAUCUCUUUUCUUCGGAGACAGGAGAGACAGGUGGUGCAUGGUUGUCGUCAGCUCGUGUCGUGAGAUGUUGGGUUAAGUCCCGCAACGAGCGCAACCCUUAUUUCUAGUUGCCAGCAGUAAGAUGGGGACUCUAGAGAGACUGCCAGUGACAAACUGGAGGAAGGUGGGGAUGGCGUCAAAUCAUCAUGCCCCUUAUGUCUUGGGCUACACACGUGCUACAAUGGUCAGAACAGAGGGAAGCGAAGCCGCGAGGUGGAGCAAAUCCCAGAAAACUGAUCUCAGUUCGGAUUGCAGGCUGCAACCCGCCUGCAUGAAGUCGGAAUCGCUAGUAAUCGCGGGUCAGCAUACCGCGGUGAAUACGUUCCCGGGCCUUGUACACACCGCCCGUCACACCACGAAAGUCAGUAACACCCGAAGCCGGUGGCCUAACCCGCAAGGGAGGGAGCUGUCGAAGGUGGGACUGAUGAUUGGGGUGAAGUCGUAACAAGGUACCC
rnacentral:rRNA from 1 species